GGGAAAGAUGAAAGACACCUUAAAGCACAAAAAAGCAAAGAUACUCACUUUUACCUUUUGCAUAAUGAAUUAGCUAGAACAAUUUCACAAAGAGAACUAUAGCCAAAAACCCCGAACCCAGACGAGCUACUUGUGAACAGCCAAAAGGGUACACUCAUCUAUGUCGCAAAAUAGUGAGAAGAUUUUCAAGUAGCGGUGAAAAGCCUAUCAAGCCUGGUGAUAGCUGGUUGUCCAGAAUAGAAUAUUAGUUCAACUUUACAUUUACUUACAGAACAAACAAUCCCCAUGUAAAUUUAAACGUUACUCUAAAGAGGGACAGCUCUUUAGAAAUAGGAAACAACCUUACUUAGAGAGUAAUUAAACUCUUUUCCAUAGUUGGCCUAAAAGCAGCCACCCAUUAAGAAAGCAUCCAAGCUCAACUCUACCCAACAUGCCUUAAUUUCAAUAACUAACCACUACUUCUAUAAUUACACUGGACCAAUCUUUAAAAUUAUAGAAGCAAUACUGCUAAUAUAAGUAACAAGAAAAUAUUCUCCUCGCAUAAGCUUAUAUCAGACUGGAUAAACCACUGAUAGUUAACAACACAAUAUAAACAACUACAAAUAUAUGAUUUAUUAAUUCCAUUGUUAACCCAAUACAGGCAUGCGUUUUCUUAAAGGAAAGAUUAAAAGAAGUAGAAGGAACUCGGCAAGACUUUAAACCCCACCUGUUUACCAAAAACAUCACCUCUAGCAUAACCAAUAUUAGAGGCACUGCCUGCCCAGUGAUAUAUUAAAUGGCCGCGGUAUCCUGACCGUGCAAAGGUAGCAUAAUCACUUGUUCUCUAAAUAAGGACUAGUAUGAAUGGCCACACGAGGGUUUUACUGUCUCCUACUUCCAAUCAGUGAAAUUGACAUCUCCGUGAAGAGGCGGAGAUAUCUUAAUAAGACGAGAAGACCCUAUGGAGCUUCAAUUUAACUACUCAACCAGUACUAAAACGACCUACUAGGACUAAUACCCAACUGGAUAUGAGCUGUAAAUUUCGGUUGGGGUGACCUCGGAGCACAAACAAACCUCCGAAUGAUUAUAACUAAGACUUUACCAGUCUAAGCAAAAAUCAUUUAUUGACCCAAACUUACUUUGAGCAACGGAACAAGUUACCCUAGAGAUAACAGCGCAAUCCUAUUACAGAGUCCAUAUCGACAAUAGGGUUUACGACCUCGAUGUUGGAUCAGGAUAUCCCAAUGGUGCAACCGCUAUUAACGGUUUGUUUGAUCAAUGAUUAAAAUCCUACGUGAUCUGAGUUCAGACCCGAGUAAUCCAGGUCGGUUUCUAUCUAUUUACUAUCUUUCCCAG
rnacentral:rRNA from 1 species